rnacentral:pre_miRNA from 1 species
AUAAUACUCCCUCCGUCCGGAAUUACUUGUCAUCAAAAUGGAUGUGUCUAGAACUAAAAUACCUCUAGAUACAUCCAUUUCAAUGACAAGUAUUUUCGGACGGAGGGAGUAGUAG